rnacentral:rRNA from 1 species
UGGGGAAUUUUGGACAAUGGGCGCAAGCCUGAUCCAGCCAUGCCGCGUGAGUGAAGAAGGCCUGGUUGUAAAGCUCUUUCGGCCGGGAAGAAAUCGUGUUCUCUAACAUAGGACAUGGAUGACGGUACCGGACUAAGAAGCACCGGCUAACUACGUGCC